AUGUUCACUUUGCCAACACAUAUACUAAGAUUAGAACUAUACAGAGAAGAAGAUUAACAUGGUUCAUAUGCAGGGAUGGCACUUAAAUUUGUGAAAACUUCCAUAUUUUU